rnacentral:rRNA from 1 species
GCAAGUCGAGCGGUAACAGAGAGUAUCUUGCUACUUUGCUGACGAGCGGCGGACGGGUGAGUAAUGCUUGGGAAUAUGCCUUUUGGUGGGGGACAACAGUUGGAAACGACUGCUAAUACCGCAUAAUGUCUACGGACCAAAGGGGGCUUCGGCUCUCGCCAUUUGAUUAGCCCAAGUGAGAUUAGCUAGUUGGUAAGGUAAUGGCUUACCAAGGCGACGAUCUCUAGCUGGUUUGAGAGGAUGAUC